rnacentral:rRNA from 1 species
AUGUUAGCGGCGGACGGGUGAGUAACACGUGGAUAACCUACCUAUAAGACUGGGAUAACUUCGGGAAACCGGAGCUAAUACCGGAUAAUAUUUUGAACCGCAUGGUUCAAAAGUGAAAGACGGUCUUGCUGUCACUUAUAGAUGGAUCCGCGCUGCAUUAGCUAGUUGGUAAGGUAACGGCUUACCAAGGCAACGAUGCAUAGCCGACCUGAGAGGGUGAUCGGCCACACUGGAACUGAGACACGGUCCAGACUCCUACGGGAGGCAGCAGUAGGGAAUCUUCCGCAAUGGGCGAAAGCCUGACGGAGCAACGCCGCGUGAGUGAUGAAGGUCUUCGGAUCGUAAAACUCUGUUAUUAGGGAAGAACAUAUGUGUAAGUAACUGUGCACAUCUUGACGGUACCUAAUCAGAAAGCCACGGCUAACUACGUGCCAGCAGCCGCGGUAAUACGUAGGUGGCAAGCGUUAUCCGGAAUUAUUGGGCGUAAAGCGCGCGUAGGCGGUUUUUUAAGUCUGAUGUGAAAGCCCACGGCUCAACCGUGGAGGGUCAUUGGAAACUGGAAAACUUGAGUGCAGAAGAGGAAAGUGGAAUUCCAUGUGUAGCGGUGAAAUGCGCAGAGAUAUGGAGGAACACCAGUGGCGAAGGCGACUUUCUGGUCUGUAACUGACGCUGAUGUGCGAAAGCGUGGGGAUCAAACAGGAUUAGAUACCCUGGUAGUCCACGCCGUAAACGAUGAGUGCUAAGUGUUAGGGGGUUUCCGCCCCUUAGUGCUGCAGCUAACGCAUUAAGCACUCCGCCUGGGGAGUACGACCGCAAGGUUGAAACUCAAAGGAAUUGACGGGGACCCGCACAAGCGGUGGAGCAUGUGGUUUAAUUCGAAGCAACGCGAAGAACCUUACCAAAUCUUGACAUCCUUUGACAACUCUAGAGAUAGAGCCUUCCCCUUCGGGGGACAAAGUGACAGGUGGUGCAUGGUUGUCGUCAGCUCGUGUCGUGAGAUGUUGGGUUAAGUCCCGCAACGAGCGCAACCCUUAAGCUUAGUUGCCAUCAUU